UACGAAGGUGGCAAGCGUUACUCGGAAUUACUAGGCGUAAAGGGCAGGUAGGUGGUUUGAUAAGUCUGUUGUGUAAGCUCCUGGCUUAACUGGGAGAGGUCAACGGAAACUAUCAGGCUUGAGUAUAGGAGAGGUUACUGGAAUUCCCGGUGUAGCGGUGAAAUGCGCAGAGAUCGGGAGGAACACCAAUGGCGAAAGCAGGUAACUGGACUAUUACUGACACUAAGCUGCGAAAGCUAGGGGAGCAAACAGGAUUAGAUACCCUGGUAGU
rnacentral:rRNA from 1 species